rnacentral:lncRNA from 1 species
AGGGAGACAUGCCUGAAAAAAUGGAGCGCAUCUUUGGCGAGAAAGGAUCCCCUUCUCACGUCUUCAUCUUCCUCCUCCAUCGUUACUGCUACUAACCAGAAAACGACCCUCCCUUUGGCUCAUCUUCUCCAAAAUACAACCAACAAUACAUUUUAGUAUUUUUAAAAUCAUACCUUCUCACGUCUUCAUCUUCCUCCUCCAUCGUUACUGCUACUAACAAGAGAAAUGGACUCCCCCCCAUUCGCUCAUCUUCUCCAAAACUCAACCAGCCAUGAAACCCACCCUAAAUCACCAUAGACAUCUAGCCAAGCAAAGCUCCAAAGCUACAUAAACUUUCAGCCAUUAAACAACCAUGAAAGGCAACCAUUACACCCAUUGAACACAAGCCCUCCCUAAUCGACUCACUAUCUUCUUCAACUAGGAGCUCACUCAAACCCGCAACCAAAAAAUUCGAACUAGCCGCUGUUCGUCGGAAACCAGACGCACGACGUCACCGGCGACCACCAUUGAAAACGGCGAAUACACUGCUACCGUUCCACCCUCUCACAUCUGCCGCUACCAUGACUGGCCGGAAAUACAGCAAAAACAACGAUAGAAUGUGAGAGUUUUCCUGCUGUCGAGCCAUUGAGGUUGUCGUCGAGGUUUUCAGUCCAAGUCCUCGUUGCCGAUUUUCUAUUGAAGUCGUGUGUACAAUUUCGAUUGGAGGGUCAGUUCGUUUGUCUAACUUGACAGGAUAGUUAAUCUGCCUUGGGUUCCAUCUCUAUCCCAUCUAAUUAAUUAUUGGCUCUAUAUUGUUCUUAUAUGGACAAGAGGGGCUUGGUCUGAUGGUAACCAACCCUCACUUACAACCGAGAGGUUGUGAGUU